rnacentral:pre_miRNA from 1 species
CCUUAGUUUUGCACUGUUUAUUUUUAACGUUUGACCAUUUAUUUUAUUUAGAACUUUUUAUGAUUAAUUAUUAUUUAUUGUUAUUAAAUGAUAAAACAUACUGUGUGAUUAUUUUUAAAAUUUUUUUCAUAAACUUUUUAAAUAGACGGAUAGUUAAAUGUUGGUCACGAAUACUCACGGCUACACUUAUU